CGAACGCUGGCGGCGUGCUUAACACAUGCAAGUCGAGCGAUGAAGCACCUUCGGGUGUGAAUUAGCGGCGAACGGGUGAGGAACACGUGAAGAAUCUGCCUUCAACUCUGGGAUAACUCCGGGAAACCGGGGCUAAUACCGGAUAUGAGCCUUGAUCGCAUGAUCGGGGCUGGAAAGUUUUUCGGUUGAAGAUGACUUCGCGGCCUAUCAGCUUGUUGGUGAGGUAAUGGCUCACCAAGGCGACGACGGGUAGCCGGCCUGAGAGGGCGACCGGCCACACUGGGACUGAGACACGGCCCAGACUCCUACGGGAGGCAGCAGUGGGGAAUAUUGGGCAAUGGAGGAAACUCUGACCCAGCGACGCCGCGUGAGGGAUGAAGGCCUUCGGGUUGUAAACCUCUUUCAGUAGGGAAGAAGCGAAAGUGACGGUACCUACAGAAGAAGCACCGGCUAACUAUGUGCCAGCAGCCGCGGUAAUACAUAGGGUGCAAGCGUUGUCCGGAAUUAUUGGGCGUAGAGAGCUCGUAGGUGGUUCGAUACGUCGGAUGUGAAAAUCAGGGGCUCAACCCCUGACCUGCAUCCGAUACGGUCGAGCUAGAGUUUGGUAGGGGAGACUGGAAUUCCUGGUGUAGCGGUGGAAUGCGCAGAUAUCAGGAGGAACACCGAUGGCGAAGGCAGGUCUCUGGGCCAAUACUGACACUGAGGAGCGAAAGCGUGGGGAGCGAACAGGAUUAGAUACCCUGGUAGUCCACGCCGUAAACGGUGGGCGCUAGUUGUGCGAACCUUCCACGGUUUGUGCGACGCAGCUAACGCAUUAAGCGCCCCGCCUGGGGAGUACGAUCGCAAGAUUAAAACUCAAAUGAAUUGACGG
rnacentral:rRNA from 1 species